rnacentral:rRNA from 1 species
GACGAACGCUGGCGGCGUGCUUAACACAUGCAAGUCGAACGGAAAGGCCCUGCUUUUGUGGGGUGCUCGAGUGGCGAACGGGUGAGUAACACGUGAGUAACCUGCCCUUGACUUUGGGAUAACUUCAGGAAACUGGGGCUAAUACCGGAUAGGAGCUCCUGUUGCAUGGUGGGGGUUGGAACGUUUCGGCGGGUGGGGAUGGACUCGCGGCUUAUCAGCUUGUUGGUGGGGUAGUGGCUUACCAAGGCUUUGACGGGUAGCCGGCCUGAGAGGGUGACCGGCCACAUUGGGACUGAGAUACGGCCCAGACUCCUACGGGAGGCAGCAGUGGGGAAUAUUGCACAAUGGGCGGAAGCCUGAUGCAGCAACGCCGCGUGCGGGAUGACGGCCUUCGGGUUGUAAACCGCUUUCGCCUGUGACGAAGCGUGAGUGACGGUAAUGGGUAAAGAAGCACCGGCUAACUACGUG